CUCAGUUCUAUUUUACUUACACGUGUCAUCAAAAUCUCAUAACCUUAUUUGGAUUUUAUCUGCUUCUUCAUUCUAGAAUGUAAGCUCUAUGAAGACAGGAAUUCUGUCCUGCUCACCACCGUGCCCCCCGCUAAAGAACAAUGAAUUAUCUAGUAGGCCUCAAGAAGUAUUUGCCAAACAAAAAUGAAAAGAUGGGGUUGGCGGACAGGAGAGCACAAAUCCACGUAAAACAAUAAAACGAGGAAUUGGAAAAAGGAAAGAAAACCACGCUGAGAUGUCCGAACUGACAGGACUCAAAGCUAUCAUGCCAGCUCGGAGGUUUUGUGGACAUUUUUCAGGGUGGACAGGUGCUUCACACCUAUCUAAGCGUAUAGAGCCUUUCCAGGAAGAAGAAAAUCCACAGGGAAGUGUCCAGAUAGCUGUGAGCAGCUCCCAGAAGAGUGGACACAAUCAACACCCUAACAAACGUGGCCCAGGUCGGGAGAAAAAAACAAUACACCAUACAUCUCGGCCCAGAUGAAAAUCACACGAAUCCCCAGCACAAUCAAAUCGAGCCACCACCUUCCGCCUGACACAUGAUGGCCAUGAAAUGCAUCAGCCACAGCACCAAGAAGAGAACGAACCCGAAGACGGCCAUUCCCUCCAGGGCCAGGUCCAGCAGCGCCAUCCCCCGGCCCGCCGGCCCGGCCCGGCCCGCUCCGGCCGCCAACACAGACAGCGCUACCGCAGGAGGAGGACAAGUUUCAGAUGGCGAUAUGAUGGCAGCUGAGGUCUCCAUUGACAGUGUGACACAAAGAAGACUCUCUAAGAAACCUCCUCCAUGCUAAUUACCGUCUGACUCUGCUUCCUGGGAAACCCAACCUGCAACAGUGUUUCAGCCUGCUUUGGGAAUACAAGACUUUGUAAAUGUAAGAAUUUGGACUUCAUUCUGAGGGCAAUACGGAGUCAUUGGAGGGUUUUAAGUAGGAUGGGAUGAUAUCAGCUUUGGGUAUUAGAUCCCUCAGUUACAGUGUAAAGAAUGGAUCCAAAAAGACUAGAUUGGAGGCAGGAACACCACAUGUGUAACAACUGACUUACACAAUAGAAGGCAGUAAUGUCAUAAAUUUGGAGAUGUGACAAUGGAGAUGGAGAUACGCUGAAAAAUUCUAGAAAUAUUUAGGACGUUCAGACAAAAGAACUAAUUGAUUGUAUGUGGGAGUGAAGGAGUA